CCUCAACCUCAACCUCACACUCUCUCUCGUUCUUUUCCUCAAACCCAACCAGACCUCCUCUUUGACGGCGUGCAUGGAUCACGGCGAGGUGGGUGGCUGGAGGUACGAUCACGACGGUGGGUUCGAUGCAGAGGCAGGGGGCUUGGCUCUCUCACUCCUUCGUCCUCCCAUCUCUCGCUCUGGCUGGGCUCGAUGACGACUGGGGGUUCAAGGGCUUGACAGCGGUUGGGGCUCAGGGGGUUGGCUCGACGACGAGUGGGGUCCUCCAGGCUGGCUGGGCUCGACGGCACGGGGGUCUCGGGGGGUGGGAUUGAUCGUUCAAGGACGGGGCUGGUUGGACAGUACACGAUAGCGCGGGUUCGCAAGCUAAUGUUUCUGUGCUCUUUCAAAUGUGAUUUCAAGUUUUCAGUUAUUGCAUGGGAAGAAAAGUAAAGCAUGAGGUCCCUGAAGAUUGGGUCUGUGAAUCAUGCCAAAGUGUCAGUGACUCAGUUUUGAUGGAAUCUGGGAAGAGAGAUGAAGUUGUCUCAAUAGCAAUGAGCAAGGGGCAAUUGUCAGUUUCACAACUUCAUUCCAAGAAGCAAAAGCCUAUAGAAACUGGUAAAGUUAAGUUCAUUCAUUAUGAAGAAAUCCUUAAGCUAUCUUCAGAGACCUUCAACAAGUCAAAAGAAAUAACUUUAGUAGCUUAUGGAAAGUUGGAUACUCACCAGAAGAAAUCUAGGGAUGUUAUUUUGGUUCCCAAAAAUCAUUGUGACAUUUAUGAAAAGAAGGUGGAGAGUUCAACAAAAAAAAUCACAUUUAUGCUCAAGAGCUGUUGAUCAAGGUGGUGUUCCUAGGAUCAUUUCAGAGAAAAAACAUGCUGCCCCAUGCACAAAAGAGCCUCUAACAAAAAGACAGCAUGUAUCUAGAAAAGUUGGAAUUUCAAAUAAAAGAUAGAGAAGAAAUUAGUCAAAUAACCAUGCACAUUGUUGCCAUCAUCACUUGAUGUUAGUGCAGGUAAAGUAAUUAAUUGGUGGUAAAACUAAGGAUGUUCAAGGUGACCUGCCAAAUUUCCCACUUAGUUUUACCUUGUAUAUCACAUAUUUUCCCGCUCCGGAUGUAACUUGGAAGUGGGUAACUUAUCCUUUAAUUUUAUUUCUUUAAUUAUUUUUUCUCUUGAAAAUUCUUGAAUUUCUAAUAAUAAUAAAAAAUGAUGAUGCUGUGAAAUCAUUCCUUGCUUGAAAAGAAAAAUGCUCAGGCAAUUUUUUUUUUUGGUGUAGCACUCCUUUCUUUAAGGAAUACUCAAUGCUUCUCUGUGACUGGCACUUGUGGUUGUAGUUUUGAUAGUUUUUCAUGAGGGCCUCUUUGCUAUCUUUGUUGUUCUCUGUUUGUAGUUUUAUGUCUUAUAUGUACUAUCUUAGUCUGAGGCUGUCUAGACUGUAAUACAGUACGGUGAUUUCUUAUCAUCUUUUUUUUAAUACAAUCUUGUUUGGU